CGGGUGAGCUCAUUGUGAAACCUGGACCCACCCUAUAGGGCUUUGGAGUGUGAUGUCACAGGGGUGGGCGUGGAAAGGAUUUUGGCCUGAUGCACCAUUUUCCGGGUCCAAACAAAGCGCAAGCGAAAAAGGAGCGAAGGCACACACAACAGGUUCGUCCUUGCUGUGUGGUCGGCUGCAAUGUUCGAUCGCAUGACCGGCACGGGAAUGAGCUUAAAAAGUGUUUGUCUUUUUAUUCUUUCCCAACCUGAAAGCAACAUGAGGGAGCUUAUAUGGCGGACCUUAAAAAAUGAAGGCGUCUAGCCUGGAUAGCAGCCGUGAGAUGAGCUGAUAUCCAGUUUGCUUCCAUCUCCAGAUAUCUGUUGGUGUUCUCCAGACAUUUUCACUCCGGGAAGCCUGCCUAUGAAAUGGAUCAAACAAAUCCAGACUGGGUACCAACGUUACACAUGGGGCACUCAGAAAUGCGAACGUGAUGGUUAAGGUUAACAAGAUACGUGAAGAUAUUGGGGUAGGACAGUGGCAGUAAGUCGUCUGGGUCUUUACUCCACUGCCGAAUUUCAUAUGGGUCCACAUUUGCGAUGCACUCUAUUUUUUUUUUUUCAA